rnacentral:tRNA from 1 species
GGGGCUAACUGUAGCUGGGACAGAGCCUGCUUCUAACGCAGGCGUUUUGCGGUUCGAUCCCGCAUAGCUCCACCA